rnacentral:rRNA from 1 species
GGAAUAUUGCACAAUGGGCGCAAGCCUGAUGCAGCAACGCCGCGUGCCCGAGGAAGGCCUUCGGGUUGUAAAGGGCUUUUCUGGCUGAAGAGGCAGGACGGUAGGCCAGGAAUAAGCGUCGGCUAACUCCGUGCCAGCAGCCGCGGUAAUACGGAGGGCGCAAGCGUUGUUCGGAAUCACUGGGCGUAAAGCGCGUGUAGGCGGCCAGGCAAGUCGGGUGUGAAAUCCCGGGGCUCAACCUCGGAACUGCACUCGAAACUGCUUGGCUCGAGUCCCGGAGAGGGUGGCGGAAUUCCCGGUGUAGGGGUGAUAUCCGUAGAUAUCGGGAGGAACACCAGUGGCGAAGGCGGCCACCUGGACGGUGACUGACGCUGAGACGCGAAAGCGUGGGGAGCAAA